rnacentral:rRNA from 1 species
CGACGAGAUGUCGAUUGUUGGUUGUACGCUUGAUUUUGGCUUCCGGAGCUAACGCGUUAAUUCUACCGCCGGGGGAUUACGGCCGCAAGGUUAAAACUCAAAUGAUUUGACGGGGGCCCGCCCAACCGGUGGACCAGGUGGUUUAUUUCAAUGCACCGCGAAAAACCUUACCUACUCUUGACUUCCAGAAAAUUUCCCAAAAAUGCUUGGGUGCCUUCGGAAACUCUGAAACAGGUGCUGCAGGGCUGUCUUCACCUCGGGUUGUGAAAUGUUGGGUUAAUUCCCGCAACAAGCGCAACCCUUAUCCUUUGUUGCCACCGAUUAUGGUGGGAACUUCAAAGAAAAUGGCCGGGAAUAACCCGAAGAAGGGGGGGAAGAACUCCAAUCCUCCUGGCCCUUUACAACAAGGCUACCCCCCUGCUUCCAUGGGCGGAACCAAGGGAAACCAACCCCCGAGGAGCAACCGAACCUAAAAAAUUAAUCCUAAUCCGGAAUGGAAUCCGCCACUCCACUCCCUGAAGUCCGAAUCCCCUAUAAUCCUGGAAUCAAAUGGCUCGGGUAAUACGUUCCCCGGGCUUGGUCCCCCCGCCCGUCCAACCAUGGGGAGUGAUUUGCUACAGAAAGUAGGUAGCUUAAACUUCGCAAGGCCC